rnacentral:rRNA from 1 species
AUCGAACAAGGGACACUACUAACCCGUCAAGCAUGGAGGCUAAUGCAGGAGCCAGAUUCACUUAGUGCUCGAAUUCUUAAAGCGAGCUAUUACCCAAACUGUCAUUUAUUGGAAGCUACUUUAGGCUCGGCUCCGUCUCAAGGGCUAAUCAAGAGGAUUGGCAAUGGUAAUGGGACAAAUAUUUGGCACCAAAAUUGGAUACCUAGGGACUACAAACUCAGGCCAAUCCGUCCGAGGUCUGGAAAUCCGUACAUGUAUCUGAACUAAUUGAUCCCAGCAAGAACGUGGGAUAGGCAGCGGCUUCAGAAACACUUGAUAGCUCCUGAUGUGGACGUUGUCCUUAACAUUCCGCUGAGUUCUCGGGUCCAGGAAGAUUUCUGGGCAUGGCAUUAUGAUAAGCGGGGGGUAUUCUCGGUCAGGUCAGCGUAUAGGAUGAUCAUUGCAGUAAAGACACAGCGUGAAGAUUGGCUUGAGCGUCGUUCUGGCCACUCCAACAUAGCAGCUGACAAGAAGUCAUGGACCGAGCUGCGGAAAGUAAAAAUUCCGUCAAAGGUUCGUGUCUUUGUUUGGAGGCUAGCUCAUACUUCACUCCCUACUGGAUCCGUUCAUUGCUCAAGGAAUAUGUCCACGACUGAUGCAUGCUCAAUUUGUGGGGCGUCGGACCAUACAUGGCGUCACUCUCUAAUCAACUGCCGCAUGGCGAGGUGUCCAUGGGCGUUAGGAGAUGAGGAGCUCCUAGAGCAUGUAAUAUCAAACAACACUGACGAUGCUCGGUUAUGGCUAUUCUGGUUAUUCGAGUCGACAGCACAACAGGAUCUUGCACGGGUUUUGGUGACCUUGUGGGCAAUUUGA